UUGACGGGGCCCGCACAGGCGGUGGAGCAUGUGGUUUAAUUCGACGCAACGCGAAGAACCUUACCUGGGCUUGACAUCUGCGGAAUUUCUAUGAAAGUAGGAAGUGCCUUCGGGGAGCCGCAAGACAGGUGCUGCAUGGCUGUCGUCAGCUUGUGUCGUGAGAUGUUGGUUAAGUCCCGCAACGAGCGCAACCCUUAUCUUUAGUUACCAUCAUUCAGUUGGGGACUCUAAAGAUACUGCCCCGGUCAACGGGGAGGAAGUGGGGAUGACGUCAAGUCCUCAUGGCCCUUAUGUCCAGGGCUACACACGUACUACAAUGGCAGGUACAAAGGGCAGCCACUUAGCGAUAAGGAGCGAAUCCCGUAAAACCUGUCUCAGUCCGGAUUGGAGUCUGCAACUCGACUCCAUGAAGUUGGAAUCGCUAGUAAUCGCAGAUCAGCACGCUGCGGUGAAUACGUUCCCGGGCCUU
rnacentral:rRNA from 1 species